ACACGUAGGGGGCGAGCGUUGUCCGGAAUUACUGGGCGUAAAGGGCGUGUAGGCGGCCUGUCAAGUCAGGUGUGAAAUUCCAGGGCUCAACCCUGGGCGUGCACUUGAAACUGGGGGGCUUGAGUGCAGGAGAGGAAAGUGGAAUUCCCAGUGUAGCGGUGAAAUGCGUAGAUAUUGGGAGGAACACCAGUGGCGAAGGCGACUUUCUGGCCUGUAACUGACGCUGAGGCGCGAAAGCUAGGGGAGCAAACAGGAUUAGAUACCCUGGUAGUCCUAGCCGUAAACGAUGGGUACUAGGUGUAGGGGGUUUAGACGCCCUCUGUGCCGCAGUUAACACAUUAAGUACCCCGCCUGGGGAGUACGGCCGCAAGGCUGAA
rnacentral:rRNA from 1 species